rnacentral:lncRNA from 1 species
CGUCAUCGACGUAGUCGAUCACAAGGGCAGCAUCGGUCUCGGGGUCUACCGGAGAGAAGAGGGGGAAGAAACAGUAAAUAUAAAGCAGACAUAGCACCACAAAGCAUAACAUGGCAAUAAGAUGUGCCGGGUGUGACCUAACGCGGUAGGAGGUGAUACCGGCGAAGGGGGAAAACAUCCGGGAAAGUAUCCCCGGUGUUUCACGUUUUCGGACAGAUGAACCGGAGGGGAAAAGUUGCGUGUUCGCUAUGCUAGGGAUGUGUGGCGGACGAACGGGCUGCGUAUCCAGGUUCGUCUCGUCGUUCUGAGCAACUUUCAUGUACAAAGUUUUUUCAUCCGAACUGCGGUUUAUUUUAUAAUGAUUUUUUAAAGUUUAAUUGAAUUCUUGGGAUUAUUAUAUUUAACUUAAACUGAAUUGACUAAGUUAAUUUUGACUAGUCAAAGGGCAGGUGUGGCCCACAUGUCAUAGACUAUUUACCUAAACAAAUCUAACUUAUUUGAAAGGGCCUACAUGUCAUCUACUACUAGACUAACUUAACACUAAUUAAACCUAGUAGUACUAAUCUAAGCUAGGGCCGGCCACUAAUGGGCAUAGCCCAACCGGCCACACGCAUGAUGCACACAUACACACACAGGAGCACACGGCCAUGGCCAACUGUACGCACACACACUAUGCAGAACACACACUCACCCACACAUAGCUCUGUUUUCUGUUAACAAAAGAUAGCAUUUUGUGAUUUUCAUCGAAUUUAAUCUAUGCACUAAAAGGAUUUGGUCCAAUGGAAACAUUUGAGCAUUUUCAAGUGUACUACCUCCCCAUAAUUUUUUUAGUCCUGUUAGUAGUUGUUUAGCCUGAGUUUAGGGGCUGUUUAGGGGCUUAGUCAACGUAGAAAUCCAAAAGCUAACUAGUAGCAGCUACAGUAGGUAGUGGUAGUACAAUAGAGCAGCGAGCAGCGUGGGCAGUGGCAUGGCUCGGGCGCCAUACGCGGGCGGGCGCGGCAGCCGCAACGGCAGGCGAGGCCAUACUCGGGCGAGCGCGGGGUGCGGCUCAAUGGGCGCGGUGAGGCUGGCCGACAGCAGCAGGCACGGCCGUGGGCGAGCAGGCGGCAGCACACAGUGCCAUCAGGGGCGAGCAGCGAGGAUGCAACAGCAGCAAAGCAUCAGCAGCAGCCGAGCAAGUGCGGGGGUGGCUCGGGCGCGGCCGGCGCGAGGACUGGGCGGCAGCGGCAGGCGCGGGCCACAGCAGCAGCAGCGUCGCAAGCAAAGCAGCGCAGCAGCUGCACGCAUGUACGCGUACGCGAGAGUUCGAGCACGACGGUGAUGGCGGCCUACGGCAUGCAAACGAAGGGGAGGGACAGAGGGAUUGGACGGGCGGCUCACUGGGAUCCCGUAGGGGUGCAAAGGCGGGCUCGGGGAAAAUCGACAGCGCCGGAGUCGUUGACGAACGGCGACGUCCGAAGGAGGAAGGAGAGCUCGAUCCCCGCGAUGUGGGGCUCUCCAUCUUGGUCUCGUGGAUCCAGGCAACGAAGCAGACCACGGCGGGGCGGAGGGACAUGUCCUUAGGCAUCGGGGAGGAGGGUAGCCAUGCCGGCGAGGGCAACCCUGGCGACGACGGCGUCGGACGCGGUUGGAUCUGGAGGAGGGNNN